rnacentral:rRNA from 1 species
GACGAACGCUGGCGGCGUGCCUAAUACAUGCAAGUAGAACGCACAGUUUAUACCGUAGCUUGCUACACCAUAGACUGUGAGUUGCGAACGGGUGAGUAACGCGUAGGUAACCUGCCUGGUAGCGGGGGAUAAUUAUUGGAAACGAUAGCUAAUACCGCAUAAUAUUAAUUAUUGCAUGAUAAUUAAUUGAAAGGUGCAAUUGCACCACUACCAGAUGGACCUGCGUUGUAUUAGCUAGUAGGUGAGGUAACAGCUCACCUAGGCGACGAUACAUAGCCGACCGGAGAGGGUGAUCGGCCACACUGGGACUGAGACACGGCCCAGACUCCUACGGGAGGCAGCAGUAGGGAAUCUUCGGCAAUAGACGAAAGUCUGACCGAGCAACGCCGCGUGAGUGAAGAAGGUUUUCGGAUCGUAAAGCUCUGUUGUAAGAGAAGAACGGGUGUGAGAGUGGAAAGUUCACACUGUGACGGUAUCUUACCAGAAAGGGACGGCUAACUACGUG